rnacentral:rRNA from 1 species
UACGAAGGGGGCUAGCGUUGCUCGGAAUUACUGGGCGUAAAGGGCGCGUAGGCGGCGCUGCAAGUCAGGCGUGAAAUUCCUGGGCUUAACCUGGGGGCUGCGCUUGAGACUGUGGUGCUAGAGGACGGAAGAGGCUCGUGGAAUUCCCAGUGUAGAGGUGAAAUUCGUAGAUAUCGAGAGGAACACCUGCGGCGAAGGCGGGUUGCUGGGCUGAUACUGACGCUGAGGCGCGAAAGCUAGGGGAGCGAACGGG